rnacentral:tRNA from 1 species
GCCGGGGUAGCUCAAUCGGUAGAGCGUGUGGCUCUUAUCGCUACGAUAUAUCACAACCUCAAGGUCGCGGGUUCGAGCCCCGCCUUCGGCU